rnacentral:rRNA from 1 species
AUUGAACGCUGGCGGCAGGCCUAACACAUGCAAGUCGAACGGUAACAGGAAGAGGCUUGCUUCUUUGCUGACGAGUGGCGGACGGGUGAGUAAUGUCUGGGAAACUGCCUGAUGGAGGGGGAUAACUACUGGAAACGGUAGCUAAUACCGCAUAACGUCGCAAGACCAAAGAGGGGGACCUUCGGGCCUCUUGCCAUCGGAUGUGCCCAGAUGGGAUUAGCUAGUAGGUGGGGUAACGGCUCACCUAGGCGACGAUCCCUAGCUGGUCUGAGAGGAUGACCAGCCACACUGGAACUGAGACACGGUCCAGACUCCUACGGGAGGCAGCAGUGGGGAAUAUUGCACAAUGGGCGCAAGCCUGAUGCAGCCAUGCCGCGUGUAUGAAGAAGGCCUUCGGGUUGUAAAGUACUUUCAGCGGGGAGGAAGGGAGUAAAGUUAAUACCUUUACUCAUUGACGUUACCCGCAGAAGAAGCACCGGCUAACUCCGUG